rnacentral:rRNA from 1 species
CCUACGGGAGGCAGCAGUGAGGAAUAUUGGUCAAUGGCCGGAAGGCUGAACCCGCAAUGCCGCGUGAAGGACAGGGACCUAGGGGCGUUAAAAUUCUUUUGUGCGGGAGCAAUAAUGGGCACGUGUGGCCAGACGAGAGUACCGUACGAAUCAGAAGCGGCUAACUCCGUGCCAGCAGCCGCGGUAGUACGGAGGGUGCACGAGUUAAUCGGAAUUACUGGGCGUAAAUCGCACGCGGGCGGUCUGUCAAGUCGGAUGUGAAAUACACGGGCUCAACCUGGGAACUGCAUUCGAAACUGGCAGGCUGGAGUCUUGUAGAGGGGGGUAGAAUUCCAGGUGUAGCGGUGAAAUGCGUAGAGAUCUGGAGGAAUACCGGUGGCGAAGGCGGCCCCCUGGACAAAGACUGACGCUCAGGUGCGAAAGCGUGGGGAGCAAACAGGAUUAGAUACCCCAGUAGUC